GAGUUUGAUCGUGGCUCAGAUUGAACGCUGGCGGCAGGCCUAACACAUGCAAGUCGAGCGGAUGACGGGAGCUUGCUCCUUGAUUCAGCGGCGGACGGGUGAGUAAUGCCUAGGAAUCUGCCUGGUAGUGGGGGACAACGUUUCGAAAGGAACGCUAAUACCGCAUACGUCCUACGGGAGAAAGCAGGGGACCUUCGGGCCUUGCGCUAUCAGAUGAGCCUAGGUCGGAUUAGCUAGUUGGUGGGGUAAUGGCUCACCAAGGCGACGAUCCGUAACUGGUCUGAGAGGAUGAUCAGUCACACUGGAACUGAGACACGGUCCAGACUCCUACGGGAGGCAGCAGUGGGGAAUAUUGGACAAUGGGCGAAAGCCUGAUCCAGCCAUGCCGCGUGUGUGAAGAAGGUCUUCGGAUUGUAAAGCACUUUAAGUUGGGAGGAAGGGCAGUAAGUUAAUACCUUGCUGUUUUGACGUUACCGACAGAAUAAAGCACCGGCUAACUCUGUGCCAGCCGCCG
rnacentral:rRNA from 1 species